GCCUGGGUGGCUCAGUCGGUUAAGCAUCUGACUUUGGUUCAGGUUGUGAUCUCACCGUUCGUGGGUGCAAGCCCCACCCUGUGCU
rnacentral:tRNA from 1 species